CGUUAUCNGGAAUUACUNGGGCGUAAAGCGUUCGUAGGCGGUUUGUUANGUUAGAUGUGAAAGCCCCGGGCUUAACCUGGGAACUGCAUUUAAAACUGGCAAACUCGAGUUUAGGAGAGGGAAGUGGAAUUUCAGGUGUAGCAGUGAAAUGCGUAGAGAUCUGAAGGAACACCAGUGGCGAAGGCGACUUCCUGGACUAAAACUGACGCUGAGGAACGAAAGCGUGGGUAGCAAACGGGAUUAGAUACCCCGGUAGUCCACGCCGUAAACGAUGUCAACUAGCCGUUGGGCCUAUAUACAGGCUUAGUGGCGGAGCUAACGUAUUAAGUUGACCGCCUGGGGAGUACGGCCGCAAGGUUAAAACUCAAAUGAAUUGACGGGGGCCCGCACAAGCGGUGGAGCAUGUGGUUUAAUUCGAUGCAACGCGAAGAACCUUACCUACCCUUGACAUCCAGAGAAUCUGUUAGAGAUAGUAGAGUGCCUUCGGGAACUCUGAGACAGGUGCUGCAUGGCUGUCGUCAGCUCGUGUCGUGAGAUGUUGGGUUAAGUCCCGUAACGAGCGCAACCCUUAUCCUUAGUUGCCAGCACAUAAUGGUGGGAACUCUAAGGAGACUGCCGGUGACAAACCGGAGGAA
rnacentral:rRNA from 1 species